rnacentral:tRNA from 1 species
AACUUUAUAGUCAAUUUAUGAUUUUAGACUGCAAUUCUAAGGGUGUAGUAUUCUACUAAGGUUU